GGUAAAUUCGGGCCGGCAGCCGGGGUAAUACGAAGGGUGCAAGCGUUACUCGGAAUUACUGGGCGUAAAGCGUGCGUAGGUGGUUCGUUAAGUCUGAUGUGAAAGCCCUGGGCUCAACCUGGGAAUGGCAUUGGAUACUGGCGACCUAGAGUGCGGUAGAGGGUAGUGGAAUUCCCGGUGUAGCAGUGAAAUGCGUAGAUAUCGGGAGGAACAUCUGUGGCGAAGGCGACUACCUGGACCAGCACUGACACUGAGGCACGAAAGCGUGGGGAGCAAACAGGAUUAGAUACCCGUGUAGUC
rnacentral:rRNA from 1 species